rnacentral:lncRNA from 1 species
AACAAUUUCCUUCUGGGCAGUGGGUGAGUAUUUAGUCAUAAGAUAUAUUUUCUAAAUUUAGCAUUCCUGAGACCUCAUAGAAGAUUCAGAAUGUACCAAAUAUCAAGAAGCAGGUGCUGAUGAACUCAAAUGUGAAGCACUAGGUAAACAUAUAUCUAUACCCAGAAGGCAGGAAUUGCAGCUUUCCUUCAUCCCAGGGGCUGCUAUAUUUCCUUGCAUCUGCACCUUCUAAGAAAGGAGAAUAAGAAAUAAAGUUUCAUACCAGCAUUGAGUAGAUGCUGUGGGAGAC